CAGCCGCCGCGGUAAUACGUAGGUGGCAAGCGUUGUCCGGAAUUAUUGGGCGUAAAGGGCUCGCAGGCGGUUUCUUAAGUCUGAUGUGAAAGCCCCCGGCUCAACCGGGGAGGGUCAUUGGAAACUGGGAAACUUGAGUGCAGAAGAGGAGAGUGGAAUUCCACGUGUAGCGGUGAAAUGCGUAGAGAUGUGGAGGAACACCAGUGGCGAAGGCGACUCUCUGGUCUGUAACUGACGCUGAGGAGCGAAAGCGUGGGGAGCGAACAGGAUUAGAGACCCGCGUAGUCCCUGUCUCUUAUAU
rnacentral:rRNA from 1 species